rnacentral:rRNA from 1 species
CAGUCGCCGCGGGAAUACAGAGGGUGCGAGCGUUAAUCGGAUUUACUGGGCGUAAAGCGUGCGUAGGCGGCUUCUUAAGUCGGAUGUGAAAUCCCUGAGCUUAACUUAGGAAUUGCAUUCGAUACUGGGAAGCUAGAGUAUGGGAGAGGAUGGUUGAAUUCCAGGUGUAGCGGUGAAAUGCGUAGAGAUCUGGAGGAAUACCGAUGGCGAAGGCAGCCAUCUGGCCUAAUACUGACGCUGAGGUACGAAAGCAUGGGGAGCAAACAGGAUUAGAUACCCCCGUAGUCCCUGUCUCUUAUAC